rnacentral:rRNA from 1 species
AGGUGAACCUGGGGGAGGGUCAUUACACAAAUAUGAAGGCGGGCUGGAACCUCUCGGGGUUACAGCCUUGCUGAAUUAUUCACCCUUGUCUUUUGCGUACUUCUUGUUUCCUUGGUGGGUUCGCCCACCACUAGGACAAACAUAAACCUUUUGUAAUUGCAAUCAGCGUCAGUAACAAAUUAAUAAUUACAACUUUCAACAACGGAUCUCUUGGUUCUGGCAUCGAUGAAGAACGCAGCGAAAUGCGAUAAGUAGUGUGAAUUGCAGAAUUCAGUGAAUCAUCGAAUCUUUGAACGCACAUUGCGCCCUUUGGUAUUCCAAAGGGCAUGCCUGUUCGAGCGUCAUUUGUACCCUCAAGCUUUGCUUGGUGUUGGGCGUCUUGUCUCUAGCUUUGCUGGAGACUCGCCUUAAAGUAAUUGGCAGCCGGCCUACUGGUUUCGGAGCGCAGCACAAGUCGCACUCUCUAUCAGCAAAGGUCUAGCAUCCAUUAAGCCUUUUUUUCAACUUUUGACCUCGGAUCAGGUAGGGAUACCCGCUGAACUUAAGCAUAUCAAUAGCCGGGAGGAAAAAUUU